GCGCAGGAAAAGAAACCAACAGGGAUUGCCUCAGUAACGGCGAGUGAAGCGGCAACAGCUCAAAUUUGAAAUCUGGCGUCUUCGGCGUCCGAGUUGUAAUUUGGAGAGAUUUCUUCGGGGUGAACACCGGUCCAAGUUCCUUGGAACAGGACGUCACAGAGGGUGAGAAUCCCGUGUCUGACCGGUUGCUUCAUUCCAUGUGAAGAGUCUUCGACGAGUCGAGUUGUUUGGGAAUGCAGCUCAAAAUGGGUGGUAAAUUUCAUCUAAAGCUAAAUAUUGGCGAGAGACCGAUAGCGCACAAGUAGAGUGAUCGAAAGAUGAAAAGCACUUUGAAAAGAGAGUUAAAAAGUACGUGAAAUUGUUGAAAGGGAAGCGCUUGAGACCAGACUCAAUUUGUGGUGAACAUCAGUCCUUCUGGGCUGUGCACUUGCCACUUUUUGGGCCAGCAUCGGUUCUGACCGUGUGAUAAAGGUCCUGGGAAUGUAGCUCCUCUCGGGGAGUGUUAUAGCCCAGGGCGUAAUGACAUGAGUUGGGACCGAGGACCGCGCUUCGGCUAGGAUACUGGCAUAAUGGUCUUCAGCGACCCGUCUUGAAACACGGACCAAGGAGUCUAACAUCUAUGCGAGUGUUCGGGUGGAAAACCCUUGCGCGUAAUGAAAGUGAACGGAGGUGGGAACCCCUCGGGGUGCACCAUCGACCGAUCCUGAUGUUCUCGGAUGGAUUUGA
rnacentral:rRNA from 1 species